rnacentral:rRNA from 1 species
UACACACCGCCCGUCACACCAUGAGAGUUGGGAAUACCCGAAGCCUGUGAGCUAACUGGUAAGGAGGCAGCAGUCGAAGGUAGAAUCAAUGAUUGGGGUGAAGUCGUAACAAGGUAUC